rnacentral:tRNA from 11 species
UAAUAUUAUAAGGUAAUUUUACCUUUAAGAAUUCAAAUCUUAUAAUAAAAAAUUUUUUUAAUUUUA